AGCCUGAUGGUGAAAUUCAGCAUACCCGCUUCAAGUACACCCUGUCUUCUUGAGCUGGCGGGGGAUCCUCGUUCGACUCGAGGUCAGGCUU